rnacentral:rRNA from 1 species
UGGGGAAUCUUGCACAAUGGGGGAAACCCUGAUGCAGCGACGCCGCGUGAGCGAUGAAGCCCUUCGGGGUGUAAAGCUCUUUCGGCAGGAACGAUUAUGACGGUACCUGCAGAAGAAGCUGCGGCUAACUACGUGCCAGCAGCCGCGGUAAUACGUAGGCAGCAAGCGUUGUUCGGAAUUACUGGGCGUAAAGAGUGUGUAGGCGGUUGUCUAAGUUUGGUGUGAAAUCUCCCGGCUCAACUGGGAGGGUGCGCCGAAAACUGGACGGCUGGAGUAUGGGAGAGGAAAGCGGAAUUCCUGGUGUAGCGGUGAAAUGCGUAGAUAUCAGGAGGAACACCUGCGGUGUAGACGGCUUUCUGGACCAUCACUGACGCUGAGACACGAAAGCGUGGGUAGCAAACAGGAUUAGAUACCCUGGUAGUCCACGCCCUAAACGAUGCACAUUUGGUGUGGGUCAUUCAGUUGAUCUGUGCCGGAGCUAACGCGUUAAAUGUGCCGCCUGGGGAGUACGGUCCGGCAAGGCUG